ensembl:lncRNA
CAUUGAACAAUGGAUUGACUGGAUCAACUGAUGAAACAUGGACAUCAUUCAUCUGCUCCUGCUCCUACUGUCAUGCAUAAUUCAAGCAGUCCGAGGUCAGGUGACGCUGACACCUGAAACACUAACGGUCCUGAAAGGAAAAGAGGCCCGGUUUACCUGCAGGCCCUCCCUCCCCGAGUGGACCGUUAUGGUGUGGCUGAUGAACGGCAAAUCGGUUCUCACCAUCUCCAAUAAGACGGGUGCCCUGAACACUGUCCACCCAAAUGUGACGGCCGAGCAAAGCGGAGACGGCUGGGUGUUUGUCAUCAACAGGACGGAGAGGCACAACGAGGGCUCAGUGGUCUGUGAUCUCCAGGGUAUUACUACGAAAACAGCAAGCCUGUUUGUACAAGAGACGGGCAGCGUGAAAGUCGUUUGGGACAACAGGUUGGCUUUAAAGGAUUCCUGGGUGCAGUUUGAAUGCCUAACAGCAGGAUGGUACCCUGCGCCCACUGUGCAAUGGCAGGUGAAAGAAAAAGAGGGGAAAGAGACAAAACACAUCAGCAGCAGUGAAACGACCAAACUCAACAUCAUGGCAACGAAGAGCUCAGAUGUGUCUUGUCUGGCGUCCGUGUCUGCCCUGCUCACGCCACUGAAGAGCUGCGCCCGUCUGACUGUGGUUGUAGAGGUGGGGCGGGAGAAGGAGGAAGAUGUCUGCAGCGAGGUGCCCCUGGCAAUAAUGUCCUCCCUCUCUGCUCUUCUGCUGCUCCUCCUGCUCUGUAUCUGCACCGUCCUCUGGCUCAGACGAAGGAGACAAGCACGAGCCGGCACACAGGAGGUAGUAAGGUCCGACCAAUCGGUGAGCGGGAGGAGUUCGGUUGCUGAGGCGACAGCCGGGAAGGUCAACCUGGGAUAUUCUAGUGACGGCCCCACAGAUGCAGUUCACAAUGAGCUAAUCAUGGAAACCUUUAGGCAGGAGGACUUUGUCAGCUUUCACAAGGUCCCUGAUGUCAUAUCCCCCAGCAACCUGUCUCCACACGGGGACGGACCAGCCCAGCUUUGACCAUGAUUACAAUAUUACCCUCAAGAUAAAAGUUGCAAUAAACCACAACAAACAUUUAAUGUAUUAAGUGCCUCUUUUUCUGUUUUAAAUGCGGAAGCAUCUCAAACUCGAUCGAUGUCGCGGUCAUGGAGCGGUGAUGGUUUUAAGAUACAAUAUAAAUGGGAAAGGGUGAGAUGUAAAUUAAGGCAAUGUGACUGGUGCUGCAAUAAGAACGAGGUGGUGGUGAGGCGCUCUGCAUUAAUGCAUGAAAUAACAGAUUUAUCUCUGUGUGAAGUGGAUGACGCGACAUUUGCAUUUAAUAAUAGUAAAGAAUGGGGGUUGUGGGGGGGGUAGAAUGGUGGAGAUGGAUGUAUAUGGGUCUGCCAGACACUCAAUAGUUUCAGCAGCAUUGCUGUUAUUAAAGCAGUUGGUGUGAAUUAAAAAGGUGACAUGCCUAUUGCUGGUGUCUGGGAUUUUUUUUUUUUACCAAACUGCCGCAGUAAUACCCAUGCGUUUCACAUUUCAGACUGAGCCAGUCCCAUGUGAGUGCAUUAAAUUAUUCCCAACGUAGGGUUAUUAUCAUUGUUUAAUAAUGUCACAAUAUUUAACAAAAACUUUCCUUUUUUCUGUAGGAUGUGGUGUCUUUUUUAGGAUUUCUGUGUGAUUCUUCACCUCCUUCAACAACCGCAAAAUAAAUAGAAAAUCAUACAAUUGGCAGCUUAUCCUUUGUUGGAAGGGAAACACUCUUUCACUUCACUGAAAGCCAAUGCACAUUCUGAUNNNNNNNNNNNNNNNNNNNNNNNNNNNNNNNNNNNNNNNNNNNNNNNNNNNNNNNNNNNNNNNNNNNNNNNNNNNNNNNNNNNNNNNNNNNNNNNNNNNNCCAGAGGCUGACAAAACACAAGCGGGCCUUCUGCUGAAGAAUAAAAACAAGCCAACACAGAAGUAAAAAAAAAGAAUUACUACUACAGUGAUGGAAAGUAGCCUUGAUUUAGAAAACUCGAUGUAAUCCAAAACCAGACCAAAUCAAAACCAAGGCACAAAAAGAAAAAUAUCAAACAAAUCAGCAGGUUGUGGCCUCUUCUAAAAACCAUAAGACAGUUGAGCAUGAUGCUACGUGACACAACACUGUGAGGCGUAUGGGCAGUUAUCAAUGCAGAAGCAACCAGUGGAUUUCUGUCAAACAAAGAGAAAGGUGGACACAGUGUUGACUUUUAAAAGAAAAAAGGUCCCGGCCUAUAUAUCUAUAUUAAAAGCUAAAAAUGGAUCUAGUGUGCUGAAGAAAUAUAUUAUUCUGAGCAACUAUUAGACUCCUCAUGGCAACAAAUUCAAGAAUAUAAUAUAAGAAUUUACAAAGACUAGUGAAAACCAAUUCAACACCCACGUUCUAUUGCAACGAAAGCAAUCACUAUCAGCCAAUCUUUUUUUUCGUUCUAAAUUUAGGUGGUGCGGCUUGUAUUCAAGUGCGCUCUAUAGUUAGGAAAUGAUGGUAAAAGUGCUCUGGGGUGGGAGAGAGGGAAGAUGCAUUUCAUCUACAUAUGACCCGCACUGGCCUGGCUGCAGGGCACACCAACAACCACCAGGAGGAACUCUGUUGUCCUACUGCAGCCAUGACUAAAUGACUCUAUUAUAAUACAUAUUAAUAAUACAAUGUAUUUCACACAACCACGACCACCACAACUAAUAUAACUGCCAAAACUCCUUCUACCUCAUCAUCAAGCACCACCUUCUCUAAAUAACCCCAAAGUCACUGUCUACCACAGCUACGCCUCCACAUGACUCUUUAGUCAAAGCAGCACGCCUGAAGCCUUCGCAGGAGAGGAGAGGGCUGGAGUAGCUCACAUCCAACACUGCAAAACAAAUGUGGAAUUGAAAAAAUACAGCAAUUGCCAUUCUUAUUCCGGACUGAACACACGGCCACUAACACUAC